GAGUCCAGGGAACACAGAAGCCAGGCAAUUUCCAUGCCAAGGAUUCUGCGACCAGAGCUUAUACUUCGUGGUCAACAUGUAUAAGCUUGGGGAGAGAGUGGAGUGAUGCAGUAGCAGAGCUGCACAUGAGACAGGCAGAAGGAUCAGCAAGUAUCAACUCGGGGACCUGCUAGCCAAACGUGGCACAGUCGAGCACUCUCUAUUUGUUCCUUCACUUUCCAGUUCUGUGGAGCUGUCUUGCCAAUAAAUAAAAGGAGGAAGAUUAAAGGAGAGAAGAUUUAAAGAGUGUGUGAAGAGCAAUUCAAAGUCUAGCACUGUUUCUGGAAAACAAUUUCAAGUUCAAGCCCAGUGAGGCCACUGCCAUACACAGAAGACAGACAGCACCAUUAGACUGCAUAGUGUUAAAUGAUCGAUUUUUGGACUAUUCAAGCUUUUUAUAUCCAUUAACUCCAAUUAAUUGGAUGGACUUAUCUUCCUUGGUGACUUGGUUUAUCGUGUGAGCCAUUCUGGCAGAAGUUAGACUUCAUGUAACCCCAUAAUGAAUUCCUGUCUAGUAGAUCACUCUAAUAGGCAAAACAUAUCGCAGCUACCCUCUGCCGGUUUCAGAGACUGGGGUCACUAUCAAACUGCUCCCUGGCCCACCUGCUUAAAUGCUGUGGCUCCUAACCACUCUUUGUGACUUUGCUGCAGCUACAGAUAUCAAGAACUCCAGUGGGCCAUGGUACUUCUUGGUCCAUGGCCGAGGGAUGAUGCAAAAGCUACAUCCAUGCAGGAGAUUUCCUUCAUAUUUGGAUAGUUUCAAACAUAAGAGCAUCUUACAAUAAAGGGGAAAGAAACUUCAGAAUGUCACAGGCAAAGUCUUAGGAAGUGAAGAUAUAAAGCCAAAGUAGGAGUAAAAUGUUCGUACUUGCCAUGAAGUUAACAUCCUUACUUGGAAAAAGUCAAGGUCAAACAUAAUUCAUCAAACAUAAUUCAGAGUUACUUGGCUUUAACGGAAGUGAUUCCUCAAGUCUCCCUUCAGGUUUUAAGACUUAUUAUCGAAAGCAUAAUAAAGUGUCCUACGUUUAUACAUCUGCUGAACCAUGUUAUGAAAUCCAGUACACUGUAGGCCCUGGGAUGGGGCAAGGAGCCAUUGUCCCUCUUUGCAGGUGAGAAACUGCAUCUCUGAGGAGCCAGUCACUUAUCCAAAGUGCAUCCUGCUUGGUGUUUCUAGCUGUUACCGUCUUCUGGCUGAGGACCAAUGCAAAACCCCAGUGGUGCCUCUUGUCAAGGCUAGCUGGUGCUCAUGCAGGUAUGACUUAGGUUUUGCAAUGAUGAAGCCAAAGCACCUUGGAAGCAUUUUCCCUGCCCCGCUAACUAACUUCAUGCCAACUAGUCUGCAGGGUUCUACUCCACAGUUUCUAACAGUGCUUCUUAAGAUUGGAAAACAAAUGUACGGUAGAUGUUACUGCUUAGCUAUUGUCCUUUUAGACCUGUGCACUUUUUAAACCUCAUUUCAGUCUCUCACAUUGCAAAGAAGCUAGGGCAGGGCAAACACAAUAUUAGCUGAGGGGUCAGUAGACUCGAGGCCCAGUCCCGGCUCUUCCACUUGUUGGCAUGGUCUUCACCCCUCCAGACUAGCCUUUGCAUAGGAGUAAGACCUGCCUAUCCUAGCCUUUGCAUGGGAGUAAGGCCUGCCCAUCUCACAGGGAUGUAAAGAAAUGAAAUAGCAAGAAGGGUGCAUUACAAAUUGCCAAGCAUUAAAAGUGUCAAAUACUGGAGAGCAACAAACAAAAAGGGAAAGAAUCAGAAACAGAAAGAUAGCAGGUGUGUGUGGUGGGGGAGCACUGCCUUCAGAAUGAAAACUAUGUUACAAGUUGGCUUCAUGCAAAAGCUCAGAAGAAGCUGUGUCCAGUCUUCUGAGGACAAAAUGAGAAUAAAUAUCAAACACAUAUGCCUUUCCCUGUGUUUUUCCUCUUUAAAAUAUACGGGUAACAAAAUUGACCCAGCUCUUAGAACAGGAGAAAGGAAGAGAAACAGAGCAGUUCUAAGAAAAGAUGAAGCAAGCAAAAUACCCCUCAUGUGUGAGUUCAGAACACUUCAAAGAUUGGAAUACAUGACAUUUUGCAAUGGUUGCAAGUGGCAUUUCUUGCAAAGUCCUGUGAAGUGGGGCUUGCUGCCUCCCCACUGUAGGAAUGUAGGUUCACAGUCAUGAGGGCCAUAUAGCAUGCUCCGAUGCCAACCAGUGCCAACAGGGCAAAGAGGAGGUAGUUCACUCUCUUCCUCUCAAGCUCUCACUCCCACUCAUUUAGAUUCAUGCUACUUUCAUUUUCAUAGUGCUUUAAUGAAUGGGCCUCACUCUGGCUGGCUCACAAGGUCUUGCUAUUCAAAGGGCACCCACAUGAAAUAUAGUUUUACUGGUCAAAGAGAAAAAAAAUUGUUCCAAGUGUUGGAAAAGGUCCAAACUUUUAAUCUACAAAUCCCUGGAGGACUUGUCACUAACAGGGCCAGCUCCUGGUUUAGAUCCAUUCUUCCAGCAACUGGCCCACUCCAUUCAGCCCAGCCCUUCCUCAAGGAGCUGCUGAGACUCCCCUAACUAAAUGGAGAUACUUGGAAUGUCUUCUGCUGGCCUUCCCUGAGGAGCUCACAACACAGCCCAGCUUCAUGACAGGCGGUCAUUCUAGAAAUAGUGGGUUAGAGUCUUUUGGGAGAUAGAAGUCAAUACUGGGUAACUUACAAA